rnacentral:rRNA from 1 species
GACAGAGGGUGCAAACGUUGUUCGGAUUUACUGGGCGUAAAGCGCGUGUAGGCGGCUUGGCAAGUUGAAUGUGAAAGCCCACGGCUCAACCGUGGAAGCGCAUCCAAAACUGCUUCGCUGGAGUCUCGGAGAGGAAGGUGGAAUGCUUGGUGUAGAGGUGAAAUUCGUAGAUAUCAAGCAGAACACCUGCGGCGAAGGCGGCCUUCUGGACGAUGACUGACGCUGAGACGCGAAAGCGUGGGGAGCGAACAGG